GUACACAAAAAUGCACAUAUUGUGAGCUCGAUGAGUAGGGCGGGACACGUGGUAUCCUGUCUGAAUAUGGGGGGACCAUCCUCCAAGGCUAAAUACUCCUGACUGACCGAUAGUGAACCAGUACCGUGAGGGAAAGGCGAAAAGAACCCCGGCGAGGGGAGUGAAAAAGAACCUGAAACCGUGUACGUACAAGCAGUGGGAGCCUCUUAAUGGGGUGACUGCGUACCUUUUGUAUAAUGGGUCAGCGACUUAUAUUCUGUAGCAAGGUUAACCGAAUAGGGGAGCCGAAGGGAAACCGAGUCUUAACUGGGCGUUAAGUUGCAGGGUAUAGACCCGAAACCCGGUGAUCUAGCCAUGGGCAGGUUGAAGGUUGGGUAACACUAACUGGAGGACCGAACCGACUAAUGUUGAAAAAUUAGCGGAUGACUUGUGGCUGGGGGUGAAAGGCCAAUCAAACCGGGAGAUAGCUGGUUCUCCCCGAAAGCUAUUUAGGUAGCGCCUCGUGAAUUCAUCUCCGGGGGUAGAGCACUGUUUCGGCAAGGGGGUCAUCCCGACUUACCAACCCGAUGCAAACUGCGAAUACCGGAGAAUGUUAUCACGGGAGACACACGGCGGGUGCUAACGUCCGUCGUGAAGAGGGAAACAACCCAGACCGCCAGCUAAGGUCCCAAAGUCAUGGUUAAGUGGGAAACGAUGUGGGAAGGCCCAGACAGCCAGGAUGUUGGCUUAGAAGCAGCCAUCAUUUAAAGAAAGCGUAAUAGCUCACUGGUCGAGUCGGCCUGCGCGGAAGAUGUAACGGGGCUAAACCAUGCACCGAAGCUGCGGCAGCGACACUAUGUGUUGUUGGGUAGGGGAGCGUUCUGUAAGCCUGUGAAGGUGUACUGUGAGGUAUGCUGGAGGUAUCAGAAGUGCGAAUGCUGACAUAAGUAACGAUAAAGCGGGUGAAAAGCCCGCUCGCCGGAAGACCAAGGGUUCCUGUCCAACGUUAAUCGGGGCAGGGUGAGUCGACCCCUAAGGCGAGGCCGAAAGGCGUAGUCGAUGGGAAACAGGUUAAUAUUCCUGUACUUGGUGUUACUGCGAAGGGGGGACGGAGAAGGCUAUGUUGGCCGGGCGACGGUUGUCCCGGUUUAAGCGUGUAGGCUGGUUUUCCAGGCAAAUCCGGAAAAUCAAGGCUGAGGCGUGAUGAC
rnacentral:rRNA from 1 species